AUUGAACGCUGGCGGCAUGCCUAACACAUGCAAGUCGAACGGUAACAGGCCGCGAGGUUCCGAUGAGGGGCGGAGGGGGGCGUACUGCUGCGGAACGUGCCCAGCCGUGGGGGUUAAUUGCUCGCAACGGAAGCAAAAAUAGCAUACGACCUCUGGAUGACAGCGGGGGAAAGCAAGGCAUCGUCGGAUCUGGCGCGCCUGAAUCAGAUUAGGUAGUUGGCGGGGUAAAGGCUCACCAAGGCAACGAUCUGUAGCUGGUCUGAGAGGAGGACCAGCCACACUGGAACUGAGACACGGCCCAGACUCCUACGGGAGGCAGCAGUGGGGAAUUUUGGACAAUGGGCGCAAGCCUGAUCCAGCAAUGCCGCGUGCAUGAAGAAGGCCUUCGGGUUGUAAAGUGCUUUUGUUGGGAACGAAACGAAGCUGGUUAAUACCCGGAUCUGAUGACGGUACCGUAAGAAUAAGCACCGGCUAACUACGUG
rnacentral:rRNA from 1 species